UUUCAUUAAUUAAAAGGUCCAAGAAUAAUGUUACUUUUGUUGUCAGGAAACAUAAAAUCAUAUAUGAUUUCAUACCAAAACCUCGUCGUAACAAAAAUGUAAUACUUUUCUCUUGACCCGUAAUGAGAAAUGUAGCGUGAGUACCACAAUGUUAACCUUAGACGUACUUACCAUGGACCAUAAAUUUAUGCUAAGGGUUCAAACAUGUACUUUGACAGUUUGACAUAUAUAUACAUUAUAUAUUGUAUGUACAAUAAGGGUAGUGAUGGCCCGCAUGAAUAGCUCGGUUAACUUUUGAGUGAUAGAUUGUGUGAAUAGAGCCCUAGUCAAUCCCAGUAUAGAAGUUUCAAUUCAGCAUUCAGGUC